UACGAAGGGUGCAAGCGUUACUCGGAAUUACUGGGCGUAAAGCGUGCGUAGGCGGUUUGUUAAGUCUGUCGUGAAAGCCCCGGGCUCAACCUGGGAAUGGCGAUGGAUACUGGCGAGCUAGAGUACGGUAGAGGAGAGUGGAAUUCCCGGUGUAGCAGUGAAAUGCGUAGAGAUCGGGAGGAACAUCAGUUGCGAAGGCGGCUCUCUGGACCAGUACUGACGCUGAGGCACGAAAGCGUGGGGAGCAAACAGG
rnacentral:rRNA from 3 species